rnacentral:rRNA from 1 species
GAUGAACGCUGGCGGCGUGCCUAAUACAUGCAAGUCGAGCGAACGGACGAGAAGCUUGCUUCUCUGAUGUUAGCGGCGGACGGGUGAGUAACACGUGGAUAACCUACCUAUAAGACUGGGAUAACUUCGGGAAACCGGAGCUAAUACCGGAUAAUAUUUUGAACAGCAUGGUUCAAAAGUGAAAGACGGUCUUGCUGUCACUUAUAGAUGGAUCCGCGCUGCAUUAGCUAGUUGGUAAGGUAACGGCUUACCAAGGCAACGAUGCAUAGCCGACCUGAGAGGGUGAUCGGCCACACUGGAACUGAGACACGGUCCAGACUCCUACGGGAGGCUGCAGUAGGGAAUCUUCCGCAAUGGGCGAAAGCCUGACGGAGCAACGCCGCGUGAGUGAUGAAGGUCUUCGGAUCGUAAAACUCUGUUAUUAGGGAAGAACAUAUGUGUAAGUAACUGUGCACAUCUUGACGGUACCUAAUCAGAAAGCCACGGCUAACUACGUG